AAGAGAUCAGGGCUGGAAAACCAGGAAACCAGGACUUUCACAAGCAAAUCAUUUAGAAAACACAGACUCACUCACGGAUGGACUGUGAUGCACAAGGGCUGAGUAGAUCUAGGCUGAGCGAGCAAGGGGAGGAGUGGGAGUGUGAGAUGGGGCGGGAGAGGAAUGGGAAGGAGGGAGUGUGAACAGAAGGCUCACGAUGGGCGCCAGGAGCUCAAGGAGGCAGCUGGGAGGGGCAUGGGCGAUGGGCAGCGGGGGUGAUGAAGCCGGUUUGUGGGAGGAACCGCACUGUGAGGAGGGGAGAGGAUCCUUCCAGAAACCCUCCCAGAGAGGCUUGCCAGGUGGACAGUGGUGGGCAAAGGUUCGUGAGAAGCACGGAUGUACUGUAGCAGGGAAGAAUGGGAGCACUCCAGGACACAGCAGGAUGGCGGCCACAUGCUGGCCGCACCCGUGACUCGCACGCAAGGGCAUGGUGCCAUCUGCCCAAUCCUGCCCUUGGCCUGACAUCCAAUGGGGAAUGUGGACGUGGAUGUGCCCCUGGUCUUCUCCGCUCAAGGAGUCGCCAUGAAUCCACUGGAACAGACGCUGUUGGCCAUCCCUGAAACAUGCGGGUGUCAUGCUCCGGCUCCUGCUGACUCAGGGCAAACCUGAUCCUAGCCAGAGGUGGAGCAUGCAGCCAGGAAGAACAUGGACACGGUAUGUUCACACACACAGCGCUCGGCCCACCACUCGCCCACGAACAUUUUUCACGCCACUCAGCCAAAGGCAAAUGCCUGCCCUACGCAAGACCAGCUCAGAAAUCCAUGACUUCCAAAGUUGGCUCUGUGAUUAUCAGCGCGUGCCAAGGAGCCUGUGUCUCCCUGAGAUCUGAAACCUUGGCAGGAAGCUGAGAUGAGAGAUUGUUGCAGGGAUGGUGAAGAACUGGUAUCCUUUGCAAGAAAAAUACUAACUGGUGGCUCCGCCGUGCUUCAUUUCUGGCAGAGCCCUGACUUGGAUGCACUCUGACUGUCGAACAAUAGCCCUAAACGACAGAAGGUUCUGAAGUCUCACCCGUGUGGCAGGGGCACAUUUGAUCCAGGUUCCCAUGGCUGCACAUGGCUCCAGCACGAUCAGCCACGGUUCACCUGCGCAUUCUUUCUCUGAUGGCCGGCACCCGGCUGCCUCCAAUGCUCUCCCACAUACCUCCUCCACACUGAACAGCCUCAAACCCGUGGACCGCGGCAGAUCCCAUGGAAUGCCUCUGGGUUGUAUACUCAGCAGCGUAACCACUGGGUCAUAGCAUCAGGAGCCCCAGAUCCUUCUGGAAAGGCUGAAGCAUCCACACUCCAUCAGCCACCAUGAACUUGCCUACAGAACCCAUCCAGGCCAACAUUUGGCUUAACCAGCUUUUUAACUGUUUGCCAGUCCAACAGCUGGAAAGUGGCAUUGUGUUCUAGUUCUCAUGUGUGUGAUUACUAAUGACCUUGAGCUUCUCUUUAUAUGCAUACUAGCUUUGGGGUUUUUCUUUCUGUCAUCUGUCCAUAUCCCUUGCCCAUUCUUCUGCUGCGGUUGCUCUCCUUGUCUUUUUGAUUGGCAGGAGUCCCUUGUUAAUCCCUCAUCAACUAUUAACAUUGCAAAUAUCUUUUCUCAUUUGUUCAGCUGUGCAUUAACUUUGUCCAUCUUGUCUUUCAUUUAACAAAAAUCUCUAACUCUGACAUAAUGAAAUGUGUCAAUGUGUUACCCUAUGGUUUGUGCUUUCAGAUUUUUAUUUAAGACAUUCCUGCUUAUAAGUAACAAAGAUUUUUCUCCUGUAUAUUCUUUUAACUUUUGCUUUUGCUACUAGGACUUUAAUUUAACUAGAAUCCAGCUGUGUAUAUGGUGUUAGGUAGAAUUCACGGCUUUUAAAAAAAUGUUUUAUCACAGAUUAGUACUGCUAUGGUUUGAAUGAUUAUCCGCUUCAAAACUCAUAUUGAAAUUCAGGCUGGGCGUAGUGGCUCACACCUGUAAUCCCAGCACUUUGGGAGGCUGAGGUGGGCGGAUCACCUGAGGUCAGGAGUUUGAGACCAACCUGGCCAACAUGGAGAAACCCUGUCUCUACUAAAAAUACAAAAAUGAGCCGGGCAUGGUGGCAUAUGCCUGUAGUCCCAGCUACUCGGGAGGCUGAGGCAGGAACAUCACUUGAACCUGGAAGGCGGAGGUUGCAGUGAGCCAAGACCAUGCCACUGCACUCCAGCCUGGGCAACAGAGCAAGAUUCUGUCAAAAAAAGAAAAAAAAAAGGGAAGGAAGGAAGAAAUUUAAUUGUCAUGGACACAGUAUUAAGACCUAGGACCAGGUUAGGCAUUGUGGCUCACACCUGUAAUCUUAGCACUUUGGGAAAACCAAGUUGGGCAGAUCACCUGAGCUCAGGAGUUUGAGACCAGCCUGGGCAACACAGUGAAACCCAUCUUCACCAAAACAAUAAAAAAUUAGCUGGGUGUGGUAGAGCACACCUGUGGUCCCUGCUACUCCAGAAGCUGAGAUGGGAGGAUCACUUGAACCAAGGAGGCAGAGGUUGCAGUGAUCUGAGAUUGUGCCACUGCACUCCAGCCUGGGUGACAGAGAGAGACCCCAUCUUUAAAAAAAAAAAAAAAAAAGGUCUUGGGACCUUUGGAGGUGAUUAGGCAAUGAGUGCUCGUCCCUCUUGAGUGGGAUUCGUGUUUUUAUAAAAGGACAAGUUCAUCCCCCUCUUGCCCUCCUGCCUUCUGCCAUGGGACAAUGCAGCAAGAAGGCCCUCACCAGAUGUCAGCACCUUGACCUUAGACUUCCCAGCGUCCAGAACUGUGAGAAAAUACAUUUGUUUGUCAUAAAUUACCUAAUCUCAAGUAUUCUGUUGUAGAGCACAAAACAGAUGAAGAUUGAUACUGAGAUUUAUCAAAUGCUUUUUCUGCAUUGACUGAGAUAAAAUAUAUUUCUUUAAUCUACUACAAUAGUGAAUUAUAUUGAGAGAUUGUUAGAUAUUCCUGGAUGAACUCUACUUCAUCACUUAUUUUUCUUAAUAUACUUUUAGAUUCUAUUAACUAAUAUUUUACUUAGGAUUUUUAAAACUCCAUUUAUAAAUAAAUGGGUCUAUAUAUUUUUUAAUUCCUGUUGUCCCUAUUUGAUUUUGAAAUCCAGAUUACAUGAGCCUCACAAAAUGAGCCAGACAGUUUCCAUUCAUUUUCUAAUUUUCCAAAUAUCUUGUAUAAAAUAGAAAUUAACCAUUCCUAGAAAAUAUUAUAGAAAUCUCCAAAAACAAUUAUCCAGACUUGGAUUUUUUUGGUGCCUUUGACUGCCAUUUAACCUCCUUCACAUGCAUUCAUCUAUUCAAGUUAUCUGUCUUGUCUUUCACAAGUUUGGCAUUUUAUGCUUUUUAUAAGAAUUCGUCCGGCCAGGCACGGUAGCUCACACCUGUAAUCCCAGCACUUUGGGAGGCCAAGGAGGGCAGAUCACCUGAGGCUGGGAGUGCGAGACCAGCCUGAUCAACAUGGAGAAACCCUGUCUCUACUAAAAAUACAAAAUUAGCUGGGCUUGGUGGUGCAUGCCUGUAAUCCCAGCUACUCAGGAGGCUGAGGCAGGAGAAUCACUUGAACCUGGAAGGUGGAGGUUGCAGUGAGCAGAGAUCGUGCCAUUUUGCACUCCAGCCUGGGUAACAGGAGUGAAACUCUGCCUCAAAAAAAAAAAAAAAAAAAAAGGAAUUCAUCCAUGUCAUCUAAGUAUCAAAUUUGUUAAAUAUGCCUAUGCAUAAUACCAAUUUAUUAUCUUAUUUAUUCCCCCUCUUGCCCUCCUGCCUUCUGCCAUGGGACAAUGCAGCAAGAAGGCCCUCACCAGAUCCCAUUUUUAUUGGUCUUUCCAGAAGUCUGUCUAGCAUAUUAAAUUUUUUAAACCAGAUUUUGAUUUUGUUCAUCCUCUGUAGGUUUUAUUCAUUCUAUCUGUUUCUACUCUUAUAUUUUUCAGCUCCUUUCUUAUGUUUUCUGGGAGUGGAGUUGGAUAGGUGUUGCUCUCUUGCUCUUUUUCCAGCUGCUUGUGUUAAAUAGCUAGCUCAUUUGUUUUUCCCAUUUGUUGUUUCCUGAUGAACGCAUUAUAAUCUUUCAAUAUCCCUUUAAGAGCUACCUUGGCUUUGCCUGAAGGCAUGUCACUGAUUUGGGCAGGUCACAUUGCAUAUACAUAGAGGAAGUGCUCACAUAAGUAGAGUGCUCACUCUAUGCACUUCUUUUUUUUUUUUUUUUUUUUUUUUGAGACGGAGUCUGGCUCUGUUGCCCAGGCUGGAAUGCAGUGGCGCGAUCUCGGCUCACUGCAACCUCCGCCUCCUGGGUUCACGCCAUUCUCCUGCCUCAGCCUCCUGAGUAGCUGGGACUACAGGUGCCCACGACCACGCCCGGUUAAUUUUUUUGUAUUUUUAGUAGAGACGGGGUUUCACCGUGUUACACUCUAUGUACUUCUUAAUUUCCUUGAUCAUUUCCAAGGGCUAUCCAUAAAUAUAUUAAUUACUUUCCAAAAUAUUGGAGUUGUUUAAAAAAUUCUUUUGUUAAUUUUAAUGUCAUUGAUUUGUGAUUAGAGAAUGCAGUUUAUUUUGUAUUAAUUAUUAGAACUUUAUUGAGACUUCCUUCAUGGCUCAGUGUCUGGCCUAUUUUGGUAAAUGGUGUGUGCAUGCAUGGGGGAAAGGCAUAGCCUCUGUCUGAUGAAUGGUAAGUUCUCUACAUAUCUCAUAUCUUCAGCUUACUCAUUGUAUUGAUCAAGACUUCAGUAUCUGUUUUCUCUGUUCGAUCAUUAAAAGCUCCAACUACAA
rnacentral:lncRNA from 1 species